GUUAACAAGGACUCAGCAAAAGGGAAGGAAACACUGAGUCCAGAUCAGGGAGACAGUCAUCAGAGGUAAGAAGAGCAUAGAGCAGUAAGUAAAUUUCGUUGAAGAUAUAUUCGGAUAAGCUCCAGGAAUAGAGAAUCUUGUGGAAAGAUAUGGAAGAGAAAAAUGAGACCGUAGAACAGUCCAUGAUGGCAGAAGUACAAGUUGAGGCCCC